AGAGCUGGAAGAGAGAAUAUGCUUAUUAUCACAAAAUUGAAUUCUAUUAAUACAAAGUAUCAAUCAUGAGACUGAGAAAUAGUAACAGUUACUGUUACAAUGUAACAUCAAUGACUGUUACAAUGUAACAUCAAUGAGUAAACUUACAACAAAACCUAGCAGGGCACCAACAAGAACUUGAAGUUUUGUAUGGCCGACCGAUUCGUUCAAUGGUUUGCUACUCCCAUACGCCUUUUCCAG
rnacentral:lncRNA from 1 species